rnacentral:pre_miRNA from 1 species
UUAGCUCAUAUUUGUAUGGAAUGGGAUCGUUUGCGUACGUUUACCGCUAGGGGCGCUGUUCCAACUACAUACGAAAUUGGGUUA